rnacentral:rRNA from 1 species
ACAAUUCAGUGCUUGCACUGAAGCGUUAGUAGCGGACGGGUGAGUAACACGUAAGGAACCUGCCCAUAAGACGGGGACAACAGUUGGAAACGACUGCUAAUACCGGAUAGGAUAAUAUCUCGCAUGAGAAAUUAUUUAAAGGUGCUAUUAAGCACCACUUAUGGAUGGCCUUGCGCCGCAUUAGCUAGUUGGUAGGGUAAUGGCCUACCAAGGCAACGAUGCGUAGCCGACCUGAGAGGGUGAUC